CUUCCCACUUUUUUUUUUAAAGGACAUAAAGGUUCCAUUGAAAACAAAACCUAUCUCCUCUCAGACGGCCAACGCUUACAGCUCGCCAUCUCUCUCACGAAAUCUCCCUCUUGAUCUUUACCCACAUGGCCGAAAACACCAGUUGAUGUGGAAGCAAAAGCCUAUCCUCCAGCAAUUGCAGUGGUUUUUUAGCAGCUCAGGUCUAAGUUUUCGGUUGGGAGAUCGAAACUCUGCGGUAGGGCGCUGGGCGGCUGGGCAGUCAUGAUAGUCACUCUCCGCCUCUCCUUCGUCGCUCUCUCUGCACCACGCCACACCUCUCUCUCUCUCUUUCUCUCCCUCCCUCCCUCCUUGAUGGGAUCUCCCUCAGUCUCUCACUUUGUCAACUUGACACUUGUUGAUCUUCCUGGGCUUACAAAAGUUUCUGUUGAGGGUCAGCCCGAUAGUAUUGUGCAGGACAUUGAAAAUAUGGUUCGCUCCUACAUUGAGAAGCCCAACAGUAUAAUUUCAGCAAUUUCACCUCAAGAUCUUGCUACAUCUGAUGCAAUUAAAAUCCCUUGUGAAGUGGAUCCAAUAGGCUAUUAUUGCGGUUCCGAGAAACUGAUGCUGGGAGUGGAGGUUAAAAAAGUUUUAGUGCGUCUCUGCUUCCCGUGGCCAAUCCUAGAUCCCUGAGGUCAUGGUGUUGCCCAUGCUUGAAAUGAAGACCCAAGCAGGAAGCUGCUACAUGGUCGGGGCCUCCAAAGGCUAGGAGGGAUUCGACAGAUAUUGAAAUAUAUGGGAUGCAAGGAAUCCCACCUGAUGUCUUGGCUGCACAUUAUGGAGAGGAAGAAUACGACGCCCCGUCAAAAAUGGCUAAAUGGAAAUCCCAUCAACUCAGCUUGUUGGCGGUGUGGUGCCAGGUUCACUGGGGAUAUAUCCUCCCUAACCACCUUUUGAAAUGCGGCCAAUAUACAAUUCAUCGGUCCCAAUGCCUCAUAACGGUUGGCAAGUUGCACCCCGUCCCCAGCCUUGGUAUCCACAGCCUCUGGCAGUCUCUGGUCCUCCGCCUUCCGGAUUGGGUUAUUCACAACAGCCAUUAUUUCCUGUGCAGCCACCUCUACCAUCAACAACAUCCCCUGGACUUCAAUCUUCACAGUAACUCCUGAACUGCUGCAUUAAUUAAUUGAUGUAAUGAUUUCUACUAAAACAUUUCCAAUUGUUAUUCUGUAAAUGAAAUUAAUCAUAAUGAGGGUAAUAUGAGUAUGACAUUUGAGCAAAAAGUUUUUUUUUUUUAUU